AGGAGCCGUAUGAAGGGAAACUUUCACGUAUGGUUCUGAAUGGGAGGGGAUGGUGGUGACUCCAUUCUCGACCCCUAACACAUAGCGAAAUGUUUUGACCGAAUAAACCAUGAUUAUCUACUGACCAAAAU
rnacentral:ncRNA from 1 species